rnacentral:rRNA from 1 species
AUUGAACGCUGGCGGCAGGCCUAACACAUGCAAGUCGAGCGGCAGCACGGGUACUUGUACCUGGUGGCGAGCGGCGGACGGGUGAGUAAUGCCUAGGAAUCUGCCUAGUAGUGGGGGAUAACGUCCGGAAACGGGCGCUAAUACCGCAUACGUCCUACGGGAGAAAGUGGGGGAUCUUCGGACCUCACGCUAUUAGAUGAGCCUAGGUCGGAUUAGCUAGUUGGUGAGGUAAUGGCUCACCAAGGCGACGAGCCGUAACUGGUCUGAGAGGAUGAUCAGUCACACUGGAACUGAGACACGGUCCAGACUCCUACGGGAGGCAGCAGUGGGGAAUAUUGGACAAUGGGCGAAAGCCUGAUCCAGCCAUGCCGCGUGUGUGAAGAAGGUCUUCGGAUUGUAAAGCACUUUAAGUUGGGAGGAAGGGUACUUACCUAAUACGUGAGUAUUUUGACGUUACCGACAGAAUAAGCACCGGCUAACUCUGUGCCAGCAGCCGCAGUAAGAC